CGGUGUUCAACUGGCGUGUCCGCGGGACGUCCUGCCGGUGGGCUUAGCCCGCAAGGGCGGCCCAACUUCAAAUCCCAUCGCGGUGCUCUUCACUGAGUGUCGAGGUGGGCCGGCACGUUUACUUUGAACAAAUUAGAGUGCUUAAAGCAGGCUAAAACUUCGCCUGAAUACUGUGUGCAUGGAAUAAUGGAAUAGGACCUCGGUUCUAUUUUGUUGGUUUUCGGAACCCCGAGGUAAUGAUUAAUAGGAACGGAUGGGGGCAUUCGUAUUGCGACGUUAGAGGUGAAAUUCUUGGAUCGUCGCAAGACGGACAGAAGCGAAAGCAUUUGCCAAAAACGCUUUCAUUGAUCAAGAACGAAAGUUGGAGGUUCGAAGGCGAUCAGAUACCGCCCUAGUUCUAACCAUAAACGAUGCCAGCUAGCGAUCCGUCGACGUUCCUCCGAUGACUCGACGGGCAGCUUCCGGGAAACCAAAGCUUUUGGGUUCCGGGGGAAGUAUGGUUGCAAAGCUGAAACUUAAAGGAAUUGACGGAAGGGCACCACCAGGAGUGGAGCCUGCGGCUUAAUUUGACUCAACACGGGAAACCUCACCAGGCCCGGACACCGGAAGGAUUGACAGAUUGAGAGCUCUUUCUUGAUUCGGUGGGUGGUGGUGCAUGGCCGUUCUUAGUUGGUGGAGCGAUUUGUCUGGUUAAUUCCGAUAACGAACGAGACUCUAGCCUGCUAACUAGGCGUAUUUUCGACAUCUCAAAGGUCCGUCGUCCCGGCCCUCGGGUCGUGGGCGUGCGCGAUUUUUACUGUCGGCGUACUAUCAAUUCUUCUUAGAGGGACAGGUGGCUUCUAGCCGCACGAGAUUGAGCAAUAACAGGUCUGUGAUG
rnacentral:rRNA from 1 species